AUCGAACCCAGGGUCUCACAUGUGAGAGUAUUUGGUUUUCAACUUUGAAUCCUGUUACACAUAAGAAAGAGACCUCUGGCAGCAGUGUGGAGAAUAGAUAGAGGAGAAAAAAACUAAUCUGAGAAGCCAGUUAGGAGGCUUUU